rnacentral:rRNA from 1 species
CACGUAGAAGACUAGUGCUAUUCAUCUUUAUUAGGUUUAAAGGGUACCUAGACGGAAAAUCAAGCCAUAAUAGGGACUAAUUUUCUAGAGUUUUAUGAGAGAAGGGGCGAAUUUCCGGAGGAAAGUUGAUAUUUUGUGAUACUGGAAGGACGGGUAACGGCGAAGGCAACCUUUUAUGUAAAAACUGACGUUGAGGGACGAAGCCUUGGGUAACGAGAAGG